rnacentral:rRNA from 1 species
GAUGAACGCUGGCGGCGUGCCUAAUACAUGCAAGUCGAGCGAACAGACGAGGAGCUUGCUCCUCUGACGUUAGCGGCGGACGGAUGAGUAACACGUGGAUAACCUACCUAUAAGGCUGGGAUAACUUCGGGAAACCGGAGCUAAUACCGGAUAAUAUAUUGAACCGCAUGGUUCAAUAGUGAAAGACGGUUUUGCUGUCACUUAUAGAUGGAUCCGCGCCGCAUUAGCUAGUUGGUAAGGUAACGGCUUACCAAGGCAACGAUGCGUAGCCGACCUGAGAGGGUGAUCGGCCACACUGGAACUGAGACACGGUCCAGACUCCUACGGGAGGCAGCAGUAGGGAAUCUUCCGCAAUGGGCGAAAGCCUGACGGAGCAACGCCGCGUGAGUGAUGAAGGUCUUCGGAUCGUAAAACUCUGUUAUUAGGGAAGAACAAAUGUGUAAGUAACUAUGCACGUCUUGACGGUACCUAAUCAGAAAGCCACGGCUAACUACGUG